rnacentral:pre_miRNA from 1 species
AGUAGGAUAGCUGGGUCAAAUGGUGGUCCCAGUUUUCUGAGGAAUCUCCAUACUGCUUUCCAGAUUGGCUGCACCAAUUUGCAGUCCCACCAGCAAU